rnacentral:lncRNA from 1 species
GCAAGAAGACAAAAGUGGACUUGGACAAGUAAGCCUUUAUGAAUUUGAUUCUUUCCAUUACUACAGACUCCCAGCAGGUGUUUAUGUCUGAAGAUGGAGGUGCCCAUUAUCCAAAAAUCCCCUCCCAUAUAGUGGGAGUUACUAAAGCCCAAAUUAUAUCUAUUUCAAAUUUCAAGGAAUUAAAAACCAUGAGAAAAAGAAGCAAGUGAGUAAAAGACAAAUACCAAGGCGUGCUGAGGACACUGCACACACAGAGAUGUCGGAUGAGAGCUUGAGAGAGCUCAGAGCUGGCCAAGUGAACUGCAGAGAACCCAUGUCCUUCCUGUGCUUGGGAACCUGUGGACAGGGAUCCCUGUAUGUCCUGUCUAGAGUCUGUUGUAUUAGGGACAGGUAUCUUAGUGUCAUCUACCACCCUCAUCAGUCUGGGCUGUUUAUGUCUCUGCUGAUACUGGGUAGAGCUUCCGUUCUGCUACUGCUCUGCUUGGUGUUCCAGUUGUCACCUCAGUCUUGUGAGCAGUCUCAAAAUGCGCUUAUAGCUGGGCUUGCUACUGUUCAUACUAGGAGGUCUAUUUUAUACCAAUGCCCUGAAGCCAGCUUUCGGGCUUUGUGCUGGGAAUUGAGUGUAGGGCCUCAUGCACUCCCAGGCAAGUGCUCUACCAUUGAGCUCCAUGCCCUUCCCAUCAAGUAAAAACACAUUUGAAAACUGUUCUCAUGAAAAGAAAAAAAAAA